AAAAGUGUAGGUCGUGAUGAGACUUCUAAUCUUCUUCAUAAGCAGUUCAAUUCUGUUUACUUUUU
rnacentral:tRNA from 1 species